rfam:Cephalotus follicularis DNA, scaffold: scaffold758, isolate: St1.
UGUGCAAGUGAAGAUAAAAUAGACAGGGACAUCAGCACUCUGUAAGAGUAUGAUGACAUGUCUUUGGGAAUCUCUCUGAUGCACA